rnacentral:misc_RNA from 1 species
UUAACUUAUUUCUUAGUUAUGAUUCAGAAUGACUUAAAUUAACAAGAGUUUAGUAGUCCACCGGUGGCAGCACCCUCCCGAGAGAGAGCACUAACCACCGAGGCAACAGUGGUAAGUUCACAUGGUUUGGAGAGUUAAAAACUCAGUAAUGAUCCCUCCGCAGGUUCACCUACGGAGA